UAGGGAAUCUUCCACAAUGGGGCGAAAGCCUGAUGGAGCAACGCCGCGUGUGUGAUGAAGGCUUUAGGGUCGUAAAGCACUGUUGUAUGGGAAGAAAUGCUAGAAUAGGGAAUGAUUCUAGUUCGACGGUACCAUACCAGAAAGGGCGGCUAAAUACGUGCCAC
rnacentral:rRNA from 1 species